CCUACGGGGGACAGCAGUGAGGAAUAUUGGUCAAUGGGCGGAAGCCUGAACCAGCCAAGUAGCGUGCAGGAUGACGGCCCUACGGGUUGUAAACUGCGUUUAUACGGGAAUAACGCGCCGUACGUGUAGGGCUUUGCAUGUACCGUAUGAAUAAGGACCGGCUAAUGCCGUGCCAGCAGCCGCGGUAAUACGGACGGUCCGGGCGUUAUCCGGAUUUAUUGGGGUGACAGGGAGCGUAGGCGGCAUGUCAAGCGUGCUGUGAAAUGUCCGGGCUCAACCCGGGCCUUGCCGCGCGAACGGGCGUGCUUGAGUCCGCGGCCAGCAGGCGGCAUUCGUCGUGUAGCGGU
rnacentral:rRNA from 1 species